rnacentral:rRNA from 1 species
UGCUUUCUCCGCUGACGAGCGGCGGAACGGGUGAGUAAUGUCUGGGGAUCUGCCUGAUGGAGGGGGAUAACUACUGGAAACGGUAGCUAAUACCGCAUAACGUCGCAAGACCAAAGUGGGGGACCUUCGGGCCUCAUGCCAUCAGAUGAACCCAGAUGGGAUUAGCUAGUAGGUGAGGUAAUGGCUCACCUAGGCGACGAUCCCUAGCUGGUCUGAGAGGAUGACCAGCCACACUGGAACUGAGACACGGUCCAGACUCCUACGGGAGGCAGCAGUGGGGAAUAUUGCACAAUGGGCGCAAGCCUGAUGCAGCCAUGCCGCGUGUAUGAAGAAGGCCUUCGGGUUGUAAAGUACUUUCAGUAGGGAGGAAGGUGUGCGUGUUAAUAGCACGUGCAAUUGACGUUACCUACAGAAGAAGCACCGGCUAACUCCGUGCCAGCAGCCGCGGUAAUACGGAGGGUGCAAGCGUUAAUCGGAAUUACUGGGCGUAAAGCGCACGCAGGCGGUUUGUUAAGUUGGAUGUGAAAUCCCCGGGCUUAACCUGGGAACUGCAUCCAAGACUGGCAAGCUAGAGUCUCGUAGAGGGAGGUAGAAUUCCAGGUGUAGCGGUGAAAUGCGUAGAGAUCUGGAGGAAUACCGGUGGCGAAGGCGGCCUCCUGGACGAAGACUGACGCUCAGGUGCGAAAGCGUGGGGAGCAAACAGGAUUAGAUACCCUGGUAGUCCACGCUGUAAACGAUGUCGAUUUGGAGGUUGUGCCCUUGAGGCGUGGCUUCCGAAGCUAACGCGUUAAAUCGACCGCCUGGGGAGUACGGCCGCAAGGUUAAAACUCAAAUGAAUUGACGGGGGCCCGCACAAGCGGUGGAGCAUGUGGUUUAAUUCGAUGCAACGCGAAGAACCUUACCUACUCUUGACAUCCAGCGAAUCCUGUAGAGAUACGGGAGUGCCUUCGGGAACGCUGAGACAGGUGCUGCAUGGCUGUCGUCAGCUCGUGUUGUGAAAUGUUGGGUUAAGUCCCGCAACGAGCGCAACCCUUAUCCUUUGUUGCCAGCGGUUCGGCCGGGAACUCAAAGGAGACUGCCAGUGAUAAACUGGAGGAAGGUGGGGAUGACGUCA